rnacentral:piRNA from 1 species
UCCACAACAGUGUGUUCUUGACAUGGAGA